CAUGUCAAGGUGUUUUGAAAUUCUGUUAUAAAAAUUCUACUCUACUAUCGAACGAAGCAGAUACCGAUAAAUAAUUUCAAUUAACGGGAAUAUAUCUCAAUUCUGGGUGCACUUUUCGUCAUCUUCUUCGUGUACGUGAAAUUGCUUCACUUUCGUCGUUGGUAUUUUCAUCGAAACUGUUCCCGAAAUUCGAAUGCUCCAAUUUUACUACAUCUGUACGAGAUGAAGCCUUUUUAACCGCCAAAAUUAUCACAUUGGUGAAAAUCGAACUUUUAUCCAUUUCUGAUCGUUUAUCAUCGUUGAAACUUUCAACUCGAUGGAAUAUCGAAAUCUAGACAACGUUUUUGAGACGAAGCUUCGUUUAUUUAUUUUGUUUUUUGUUCGGUUAAUGCGCAGUUACACUAAAUGAUGCACGAACGUAACAAUGAAUAUGAUUUUCUGUACUUCUUGCUACCACACGACACUUUUGACUCGAUAUCCAUCCUCAUAUUUCUGACGUCUUAAUCUGAUUAUUCUUGUUGAAAUUCCUAUUGUUUAUUUUUCUGUUUAAGUUUACUCUUCUUUGUUCCGUUUUUUCUUUUCUUUUAUUAUUUUCGCCAAGUUACCAAAAAAAAACCGUUUUGUUAUUUUCUUAUUGUAAAUUUCACUCCACAUACACACUUCGAGAAUCACUCAAUCAACACACGUAACGUCGUAAUGAUCGCAACGUUCAUCGAAUUUAGUCGCUCGUAGGCCACUCAGUCAUCGUAAUAUUUUUGUUCCUCUCAACGUGACGUAUUUUUAUUAUGAACUCAACAGUUGCACACUUUUGCGAAAUAACUUCGAAGCGAACGAAUUAAUGGCUUUGAAAUCAAGUGCACACCGUUCAGAUUAUUCGACCGUUGCUACGUUUUACACUCAUGAAAACUAAGAUCGUUCACAUUAACCCUUUGAUUGCAGCGGCGGUGGCAUCAUCAUCAUCAUCAGCAGCAGCAGCAGCAUCGGCAACCACAUCAACCGAAUUGUCUACCGACCCAACUGCGAUUAAUAUCGAUAUCAUUAUGCGAUCGAAACACUUCGAAAUUGUUUAUUCAACCAAAUGCACCGUUGAAGGCGUCUAAAAAAAUUCAUCUACCUAUAAAUAAUCAGCUAGCUACUCAUCGAACUAUAACCUGACUUUUGUCCUUCGAAUUAAUAAUCAAGACUAAAAAAACUUUUCGACAUGAAAACUAAAGAGAUAAUUAUCACCGAUAAAUCCUCCAGCAGCGAUCAUAUGGACGUCGUCGACGAACGUAGUAAAAACGACCAAGAAUUAAUGACCACCGCAACUUUGGUCAUUUCUUCGGUAAAAUACGGCGUCGUCGCCGCCGAAGAUGACGACGACGAAGACGACGUACUCGUAUCGAAAUUGAAACGCGCCGCCGCCGGUAAACGAUUAUCGAACAACAACAACAACAGCAACAAUAUCGAUAUCGUGUAUCAUCGUAAUAAUAAAAACAACCGGUACAAUAACGCCGCCGCCGCCUUCAACGACGAUUAUCGUUACUUCGGCCGUACGACUAAAUAUUAUUGCAAUUGCGGCAACGGCGUCGUCGUCGGCGCUGGAAACCUAAAGAAAUCUUCGUCGCCUUUGCUGGUCAAGAAUAAUAAUAGUACCAACAUUUACCAUCGUGAAAUCGACAGUAUUUUGGACGCGAAUAUAGAUUGCGUGGCGGCGGCGGCGGCAGCGGCGGCUACUGUUUACGCUACGAAGAAGACGUUGAUGCUGAACGAGUUGCUGGAGUUGAACGCCGUUGUUGCCGAAGAGGAAAGGUCGCCGUCUAGCGUCGUUCAACAGCAGCGUUACGAUAUGACGAGGACGACCUUUGUAAACCGGUUUGUCUCUGAAGCUGCAUCAUUGUCUCAUCAGUCGCAGUCCAACGGUUGUCUCGUGAAGAAAACUACCAGCAAUAAUAAUCGCAGCGCCACCUCCGCCGGCCUGGUCGUUGAAAACAAUCGUAACGCUAACAAUAGUGGUGGUUGGUCUACAUCUUCGAGUUUUACUACCACUACGAGUACUCGAGGUGGUGUCGUCGAUAGCAGCAGUGCUAGUAUCGUUGUUGGUGGUGGAGGUGGUGGCAAAGGCUGUAACGUGAUUACCCAGCAGCAGCAGCCGAAUCAGUCUGUGUGUCUGAACUCUUCGAUUCUGUUGACGGAUAAACGUUUGGUCGGAUUGUUUCGCAGUGUCGCGCUGUAUUGGUUUUUCUGCCUGAACACGGUGCUGGCCAAAGGCGAUCACGUAUUCAAGCGUAAAUUAACCUCGAACGCUGUCUCGCCUUUGAUGAACGACGGUCUGAACGAGCAACUAUUACUACAACACACCAACACCGGAAUCACCAGCUGUAGUCUGUCAUCUUCGCAAGGUAACCUCCAGUUGCAGAUUUGCUGUCCCGAUGUGGUGCUGGCGGUGACCGGAGUCGACCAGUUGAAUAGCGAGAACUUUUUAUGGAAUUUGACGACGACGACGACCACGAAGAAAGCAUCAGAAACGGAUGAAAAUCAUUCCGGCGGUGGCGAUUUGUUGAGUUGGGCUGAUCACUCGAGAACGAAAUUAUUCAACGAUUUGUUCGAAAAAGUCUUACGCAAUUUGGCCAAUAAUUGCGGUAUUUUCACGGCAGCCAAACCACCUAUCAUCGAAACGUCGUCCAACAAGCACAGAUUCCGCCGCAAGACCGAAGACGAAGACCUGCUAACUCGUGUAAAGAUGGAGAAUCGAAACUGCCUGACUGAAGACCAUACUUUACUGCCUCCGACCCCUCCUUCGUCGACUUCGCCGAGUAAACCUGCGAAGAAAUACGCCAAAAAGGUAAUCGGCGUCAGACGUAAAUAUAUUAUCGACGUGAUGGAUUAUUAUUACGACGAAGAUCGCGAUCACGAGGACGACGACGACGACCACGAUGCCGAACAAGAAGAAGAAGAAUACGCCGCUGGCAGAAUCUACGCCGCGACCAAAGGCAAAUCUCGACUUCGUCGCGGUGCUAGAAAAACUCCCAAUACGGCCGUAGUCAAUCGUAUAAUUUGGAAGAAACGAGCGGUGAAAAAUAAACAGAAAUCUAAGCGUAAAUUGGCCGCCUCCAUAGCAGCCGGAGAUCAACACCGACGAGUGCAGCAGAUCAUCAUCGAAUGUUACGAAUCAGCUGCAGCAAACGGUAGCGGCGUCGGAGGCGGACAAGGUUUCAGAACUGAUUACGUGAUCAACGACGGAUACGAAGAGGUAAUCGGUGCAUCGGAUAUGCAGACAGGAUCGCCAACGCCGCCGAUGGCGAAGACUCGAGCCAUUAUCGUAGAAGACGACGAUAUCAUCGAUUUCGAUAACUACGCCGAAAACCUGAAACGCGAAGUGACCCUAAGACAGCAGCGUAAACGUAGACAGCUUUCGAUGCAGGAUGCCGAACUGCCGGUUAUCAAGAUCAUGGAACCGUCGUCGUCGAAAUGCGGUGGCGGCGCCGCAGUGUCUGGUACUCGUAUUUUUGAAAGCAGCACCGAGGAUGAAUUGAGCGGCACCGGAUCGACGAAUUCGUCGUUGUUGUUGGAGCUGGAAAGGGAAGUGAGGGUGGCGGACAAGUCGUCGUAUUUUUUACCCGAUGGACGAUAUCAUUCGGUUAACCAGAAGUACCCCAAGUACGAUCUGUGGUGUUCGCCUUUACUGAUGGAGAAAGUUAUACCGUCGUCGUCGUCGUCGGUGCCGGAACCUGCUCCAAUGCGCGCUUCGUUGUCUUCCAGGAAUCAGACCGCUAAUACAGGUGGAAGUGAAACUGGUCGAAUAUUCAAGUACGCCAAGCCGGCAGCUACAGCGCCCGCUCCAGCGGUGGCGGCAUCCUUCAAGCCGUAUCGUUUAUGGGAAUCUUCGUUCGGACCGGAAGAUGAUUUAAUACCGAGUUUCGGGGCUAGCCAACGCACCCAUCGCAGACCAACGGCCGGAGGAGCAGCAGCAGCAGCAACGAAAACUUCCAAAGCACCACCGUCCGGCAGAAGACCACCGUUUGGCGGCGCUGCUGCCAAAGAGAGUUCAGCCGCUGCUCACCAUCAUCAGUCAACCUAUACUUUAUGGGGAUCGCCGAAGAUAAUCGAUUUCCUGCCAGGAGUCGGUCCAUCGUCGAACGGCAGCGGCACCAGCAGCAGCAGUAGUAGCAUUCAUCCGAACGAAGGAUCGUAUUCGUCGUCUCGUGGCACGAUGUCGUCGUCGUCCAUCUCGGAAGCGGAAUCGUCUUCGAUGGAAUGCGACGAAUACGCGUCCGAUACGUUCGAAGUUCUUAGAACGACGGCUGGGCAUAAAGGUCGCGACGCUUUCAACUACCAUCACCAGUAUCAGCAUCAGUUCAGCGUACGCGGCGGUAAAUUCUUGAAUUUGAAACCGAUCAUCAACGGAUUCGUAUCGUUCACCGAUCGUGGAGCGUUCCAGUACUACAAGAAACCAGCAACAGCAGCACCCGGCGCCACUAAAGCGACAUCGACGACUAUGAUCACGUUAGCUUUACGAAGCAGCAACAGCAGCAGGCAGAGCGACGGUGGCCGGAGUGUAUCGGAUGCGUCCACAACGACAGCGGAUGCUUCCGACGACGUCGAAGUGAGCAACAUCGUACCGAGAUCCGAUUACGAGACUCAGUUUCACUUUAAACCGAUCCAGCCGGCGUUCAAAGUACCCACCGAUACGCCAGCUCUGAUCGAACGUAGCGCCUCCGGAACGCUGUGGUGUAAUAAUCAGAGGCUGAUGGUGUUCAAACACGAGUUAGACGAGGUUUCGAUGCAGCAGCAACAACAACAACAAAGACCUCAGCCUCGAAGCCGAAGCCGCGCAUCGGUCCACGAGUUGGAUUCGUUUCAGCCGAAAUUCGUCGUGAAUGCGAACGACGUGGCGUGUCAGACCGAAUGGAUCGAAUUGAACCCGUUCGAAAGGCUAUCGUCGAUGUCGAUGGACACAGCUUCGUCUUUUUUCGCCGCAGCUGGGUCCGCUAACGAGAAGAAAACUAGCCAAGAUCCGCCUUACGCGUCCGGCGCCAUGUUUUUUUACGCUUGGGACGAAGUUUUUAAUUUUUUGAAUAAACCCGGCCUCGGAAAUAUUGAUGUGAAGGCGCACCUGGACUUCAGCUGUUUUUUCUAACCCCGUUCACCUAUAUCUGUCUAUUUGUCGUGCCCAAUAAUUACGCUUAAGAAUGAGCUUGUGAAAAAUUCCAAUUCAAUGUAUAAUCAGGUCUCUUUAAAUCAAUCUAAUGGAUUCGAAUAGAAGAAAAAACGUCUUCUGCUUCAUCAUAAAUGUACUUACACAAUGGUAACUUGGAAAAAUCGUCGAAAAUGGUAAAUUUAAAAAAAAACUACACACACACCGAGUUUAAUAAUCAGGAAUAUAAUUAUGUUUAUUAUUGUACGAACUAUGUAGCAAAGGAAAUUAUUUUCAAAAUAUUUCUUACGCGACUUUUUCUUUCUAUUAGCUGAUAAUAAUGUAUAUUAUUUCCGUGUCUUUUUUCUCUCUUUUUUUUUACGUGUAAAAUAUUUUUAUAUAAAUGAGACGUUUGAAAAAAAAAAAAUAACGAUGAUCGAGAUUCACGACACGACGGUUUCUUUUUAUUUUCAAAUAACCUGUCGUCAGUUUACGUUUCAUGUUUUCGAUUCGUUUCCUUUAUAGAGCCUAUAUAUUCAUUAAUAUGGAGAAAAUAUUGUGAUAAAAUUGAUAAAAACAAACUAUACAAAUAUAAUACUAUAAAAACCAAAAAAAAAAAAGACAAAAUUUAUGAAAAUAAACGAUAUAAUGAUUGAUUAAUUAAUUAAGUAAUACUAUAAACACGAUUAUUAUUUUUUUUUUUUUCAAUUUUCAAAUCAUCCACGAAUAUAAAAAUUUCCUGUUUUUUGUGUCUUUUCAAUCGAAAUGUCAUUACUUUUGGGUCAUCGUACUACGACGUCCAUGUUUGUUUUUUCCUACAGCUUCGCGUUUCUGUCGUUUAUUAUUUCCGCUAUAAUAUUAUUUUAAUUAUCGAUAUUUUAUAAAUAUUUCGAAAUGAAAUUUUGUAUAUUAACGAUGUACGAUGUGUGAAUUUUUAUUUUUUAUUCUGCCGCGUGAAAUUUUAUGCAUAUAAGAUGUGUUUAGGAUGUAAAAUCCAAAGUAUCUGGUACACAAAUGACCAAACAAAAAAAAAAAAAAGCUAGGAAAUAACGUAAAUUUACUUUUUAUAUCAAAUAUGUAAUUGUAAAUACCGAAGAAUAUCUUCUCAUUUUGUAAAUUACGAAAUGGUAAAGAGGAUGGAUUAUUUGAUCGAUAUAUUACGUAUAUUGAUUUUUUUUUUUUUUUUAUCAAAAAUCUUUGAUAUAUUAAAGCAACAAAGGGUGAAUUAUUGCCUCGUUUCGAAUAUUAUUUUUGAAUUUUUUUUCUCCAACGAAUGACAGAAGAUAAUAUUUUUUUGUUUAUUUUUUUUUUCUAAUUGUACAUAAAGUAUAAAUUUACGCGAAAAAGUACUUUUAAAAAAAGAAAAGGUGUACAUUUACCGGAGGAAAGAAGGUUGAUUUUUGGUAAUUUUUUUUCUCUCAAGAGAUGAAACUUGGUAGAUAUUUUUUCAACGAAUGAUUCGAGUUUCUUCGCACAUCACCUUCUUUUUUCGUCGAGUUGAUUUUUUUCUAGUAUUUCUAGUAAUUUUACGUCGAGUUUUUUUUGUUCGAGUUACUAGGUGCUUCGACUAUAAAUAAUUUUUGUUAUUUUAUUGUACGAUUGUUGGAUUGUUUUUUUUGUAAUUUUUUUUUUUUUUUUUUUUUUUUUCAAUUAUGAUGUUUGCAAAGUAAGGAAUUUUGGGUGAUUUUUGGAACUGGAGAAAAACGUAGUGUUUUCAUCAUGUUGAGAUUUUCGGAUCAUCGUAAUUUGAGAGUCGAGUGUUUGAAAAAAAAUGUUUCUUUAAAAAAAUACGAGACCUCGUGUAAAUAGUCGAAUACGUUGUACAGUUCCAAAAUCACCUGUUUCUUACCAGUUCCCCUUCUAAAAGCUGUAUUAUUACCCGCUAUAUCCAAUAUGUUGACUCGAGUUGGCCACAAUGACGCUGAGAAUAUUAUAGAUCUUGCUGCGAGUUUAAAAAGCGAAUUUAUUACCGAGUCUUUUUACUCGCGUAACAAAAUUUCGAUGUUUGCAAUUCGAUUUCAAUUUCAAUGGAAAUCUCCUUUUACUUCUACGUUUAACGUGAUCAUUAUUCGUUGGAUUGGUAGGAUUAAAAUGCGAGAGUUUAUCGAGAUUUUGUUACAAUGAUGGUCUCAUAGGUACGUCUGAUUUUUGUUUUUCCAUCAUCGGGGACCUGGGUGCCCCUUCUCGAGUCGUCUAAUGCUGAUUUUUUGUUGAAUUUUUUUGUUGUGAUGGUCCUCGUGUGUGAGAAGACGUCUUGGUAAUUGCGAUUAAGAUGUAAGAGAUAUUGUAAAACGUAAGCAUUAAUGGUUAAAUCGACUGUGAUAUUUUAAAUUUGGUAAUUGUUUUUGUAUCGUUGAAAAAAAAAUAACUUUUAUUCGGCAACAUUAUUAAUAAUGUGGAAGUGGAUGUGAAAUUGAGUACUUGAGAUUCUGAUGAUGAAGUGAGAGAUGAAAGCGCUUAGAUAGGUGUUUUUUUUUUUUUUUUUGAAGCUAUUAAAACAGUGUUUUUUUUUUUGUAUCACUUAUACUAAUUAUUAUACCUAGCGAAUGGCAUAUCUUUUGAGAUUUUUACUUCAGGGCAGCAUAAAAAUUACUGUAUACGUUGAUCUCAAACUGAAUAUUUAGUGGCGAGUGAUUCGAAUUUCGAAAUUGGAUUUUUUUUUGUCUCGUUAAACCUGCCCUUUCUCUCUUCCUCUCUUUCAUCAAAUUAAUGAUUUUAGAUUAUUUAAUUAAAUUUAAAAACGUGUAUCGUUGAGUUUUAAACUUUUGUGCGAAUUUAUUAUGGCUUCUUAUUCUGGGAUUUAUAUUUUACGUUUUGUCAAAUAUUUUUGUUAACGUUUAAAAAUGUAUUUUUUUUUUUUUUUUUUUUUUUAGUAGUUUAAGAGUUUUAUUUUAGUAAUAAUAUGGUCGCAUACACCCUAGUUUUUUUUCGCGUGUAUGCAGUAGGAUUUUUCUUAUGGAUUUUUGAUUUUUUUUAGUAACGAUGGAUUUUUUUUUCUGGUCGUGUUCAAGUUCAGGUGAAUUUUUUUAUCCCCUUUGUCGAUGGGUAAUUUUUUGAUAUUUUUGAAAAUGCUAAAUAUUGGGACCAAGAAAAAUAAUGCAGGAAAAUGAUGCAAAUUUUUGAAUUUUUUCAAAGCUAGGAAUAUUGAAUUUUGAGCAAGUUUAAUAAAAAAAAUUGAAAAAAAAUCCUGUUGGAAAAUUUUGAUAUUUUUGAGACAGGAAAAAAUUAUUGAUUGGAAGGAGACUGAAGUGAAGAGAAAAUGAAGUUCUUUGGAGAAAUCUGGCAAAAAAUUACCUAUUUUUAGGUACAUAUUUGAUGAUUUUGGAAUUCACUGUCUGAGAAAUUUUCACAUUGAGCCAGUUCAAUUUGUACUUUUUGGCUGAGAAUGGAAGUAGCAGAAGAUAUGAGGAGGGAGGGAGAUCGUGGAGUAGAGAACAGAAAAUUGUCAACAUUUUGAUUGUGAGGGGGGGGGCCAUUCGAAUUUUUGAAAUAAAAUUUUUAAAAAAUGAGGUCAUUUAAUUUUUUAAAAUUACCUUUUUUGGUGACCUGUUUUCUGCUCUAAUCCUCUAAAAGUUGUUAAUUUCUAUGAGGAAAAAUUUCCUGAAAAUUUCGUUGUCAUUCGACCCCAAUCCCCCCCCCUCCCACCGCAAUUUCAAAAAAUUGAAAAAAUCUGAUGAACUUGCUGUCUUGAAAUUCUUUUGAGUAGCCCUUUUUUCUACAAAAGGCUUCUUUUGGUCCAUCUCAAGGAAUGUUGGCCUCUUUGUGCAGAGUCCUUCCCUCCCCCUCCCCCCUCCCCCAAAAAAGUUUGAAAUUCUUUAAAACAGUCGAAGUCAAGGGGCAUUUUUCUAAAGUUGUUAUUUUUAUCGUAAUUUUUAUAAUUAAGUCCCUUUUUAGAAAUAGACCCCCUCCCUCACCCCCCCACCAUUUAAAAAGAAUUGAAAAAUUUUGAUGAAAUUCUUAUCUCUAAAUUUUUCUGAAUAGCCCUUUUUUCUAGAAAAGGCUUCUCCUGGUCCAUCUCAAGGAAUGUUGGCUGUUUAUAUAGAACUCCCCCCCCCCCUCAAAAAAUGUUUGAAGUUCAUAAAAACAGUGAAAGUCUGGGCCUUAAAUUUAUCAAAAAUUGUCAAAUAAUUUGUCCAAAAUUUAAUUUUAGGAAUCGUAAUUUUUCUAAAAAAAAAUCCUCUUUGAGAAAGAAACCCCCCUCCCCUUUGGGCCCCCCCCCCACAAUUUUAAAAAAAUUGAAAAAAUCAGAUGCAAUUCCUGUCUCAAAAUUCUUCUGAAAGCCCUUUUUUCCAGAGAGGGCUUCUUCUGGUCCGUCUCAAGGAGUGUUGGUCUUUUUGUACAGAGCCCAGAGCCCCCUCCCCCUCCCCCUCCCUCAUAUCAAAAUAAUUUUCAAUCCAUAAAAAUGAAAAUCUGGAGCUCUGGGAACAUUUUUUUCAAAAAUUGUUAUUUGACCCAUCUCAAUUUUUGCAAAUGAUUUCCUUUUUGAGAAAAAAUUCUCCUCCUCUCCCCAAGAGCCCCCUCCCCCUCCACAUCGAAAAAAAUUUUAAUUCAUAAAAAUAGUAAAAAUACUUAUUCUGGGCCUCUGGGAACAUUUUUCAAAAAUUGCCAUUUCACCCAUCUCAAUUUUUGCAAAUGAUUUCCUUUUUGAGAAAAAAUUCCCCCCCCCCAAAAAUGUUUUUUCAAAGCUGUGGAAAAAACUAAAAAAUGCUAUGAUGAAAAUUUUUUAUCAAGCGUUUGAUUUUGGGCUAAAAAUCGCUCUGAAAGGUCCAAUUUUUCAAGAACAUUUCUCCCUCUCUACAAAGUUGAUUCUCGUGUACGAAGCCUCCCCCUCUUCAUAAAAUUGAAAAAUUUCAAAAAUGUUACAUUCAUGCGUCGCAGUUUUUCAAUGUUUAUUGUUUUUUUUUUCAAGGAACCUCCCCCUCCAUCCCCUCUCUCAGUUCUCUGUGUCUCAUUCUUGGUCACUGUUUUAAUUUUUUUUUUUUUCAAAUUUGAGGAUUCCUAGUGGCAUUUUUUUUUUUUUUUGGAAAGCAAAACAUCAAAAAUUGGAGCAUUAUUUUCACAUGAAAUCCAACAAUUUAGGAGGUAGGGAGCUUAAAAUAGCGUAACUUCAAGAUCAGGACCACCCUUGGUGACCUCAGCUACCUAUAAAAUCUUUGGACCAUUGAAAAUGAGGUUUUUGCAGAGGGGGGGGGGGGGUGAAAUUGAAUUUUGAGAACAUUUAAAAAACAAAAAAAUGUUUCAAAAAAAAAUCUCUAAAAAAUCCAACUUGGUCUCAAAUAACGUAAUGGAACAAAUAAUUGUGAUUUUGAUUCUAAUUAAUCGUUCAAAGCCCCCUCCCUCCCUCCCACCUCCUCUCCCUUCAAUUAAAUUUGCAAAAUAAAAAAUUAAGUCCAUCAGAACACGACCUAUAAUCCUGAAACAAAGAUUAAGUACAUACAAUAAUUUUAUUAUUCUAUCAAAAAUGUAAAACCGUCGUUACUUUUUAUUAUUUUUUUGUUUAUAUUAUUUUCUUAAUUUUACGAUAAUUUUUUUAUACCUAUCAGAAUAAUAUUUAGAACGUUAUUUUGCUGAGAAAAAAAAAAUAUGAAAAUUGCAUCGCGUAAAUGAAGAAAUUUUUGUAUAAUAACGUAAUUGUUUGCUAAAUACCUUAUGAAAAAAAAAAAUGAGACGUUCUAAAAAUGAAGAAAAAAAAAGAGAUUACGAUACGAUUUUUAAAAAAAGUAUAAAAGAGGUCAACUCGCUUACGAAUAAUUAUUUUCAUUUUGUACGAAAUAACGCCUAAAAAAGAGCGAUUUUAAUCAUCGCGAAAGGGUUGCAUUUCGAAUAAGUAUAAGCAUUCCAACAACAAAACUGGCGAAUAAAGUUCUUCUAAUAACGUGUCGGGUUCAUCGAAUAAUUAUAUUUUUUUUUGUUAUUAAAACGCAUGAAAUACCGAACUUAUCAAACUUGGGAUUUUAUUUAGAAUUCAGUAUUAAUACUGAGGCCCUUAUUUUUAUUAUGAAAGCGCCCAGUUUUGAGUUUUUUUUCUUUUCGCACCUCUUGAUUUGAAUUAAUUUUUUUUUCUUUUCUAAUUACGGAUUUAUUUUAUAUAAUAUGGAGCGCGCGAGUGUGAUACUAGAUGAAAAUUUGAUAACGAUGAUGAUGAAGGUAAAUGGUAAUAUCUAGAGAGAUUUUUUUGUGUGUGAGGGAAUAUUGUUCUUAGCUUUUUUUUUUCGAUGGUUGAUUGGUUGAAAGGUGUUUUUAUUUGUUUGUUUCUGGUUUGGUAAAAAUGAUUUAUUCACGGACUUUAUGUUAUGAAAAAGUGUACAAAAUGUAGAAUAAACGUUUUUACGCGAAGGGAUCGAGUAUUAGGUGUAUAAACUGUAUUUUUGUUUUAGGUUUAUUUACCUCAUUUCUUCUUCUUCUUCUUCUUUUUUUGUUUUUUGAGAAAAAAAUCUUGUAUGUAAACAAAGAGUCUUUUGAAGAGUUAAAAAUGUGUACUAGUCGCAAUUUUAGUGGAAAUUUUUUUGUUAGUAUGUAUAAUGUGAAUAUGUAGUACAAGAGUAUGAGGAAUUUUGCACUGCGAACGUUUUCCCCUCCCGUUCUAUAUACGUCUCUUUGUCUUGCGGUUUUUUUCCUUCUCCCUUGCAUGGGUGAGGAUAUUUUUAUUUUUUUAAAAAAGCAGUGUUGGCAAAUUUAUGGAGAUCGAUAAUGUGACCUGAUGAUUGCGCCUGGAUGUUUUCCUUGGGAAGAUUUGUGUAUUCGAUCGAACUUUAUUAUAGGCUAGGUAGUUUCUUUAUUUUGUUGUUGUUGUUUGUAUUAGUGAUUUGCAUUCUUGGGUUUUGUUAUUAUUAUGCCAUCUGUAUCAGUGGUGCAUUUGUUUAGAUAAGUUUAGAUCGUCCCUGUCGCAUGGUUUUGAUCUUGGAAAGUGGCAAAUUCUAUCAAUUUGUUGAUACGGCCAUGAAUUUGAACUCUCUCAGCCGUUCAGUUGACUAAAAUUCAGUAUAAAUGUAUCUUGAUUGGCAUUUUCUCGCCUAAGAUGUUCCCAAUCGUCAAACGGACGACAUUUUCGAACUCAGCGCCCUCGAAAAUGUUGAAAUCGAUACCCAUGAAGGUUUUUUAUCAUUUUGCCCCUUCCACCCCCUGAUCCUCACUCCAACCCCCUUCUCUAAUCUCCAGAGUGUUUUCAACAGCUGAUUAGAAUCGUGAAGAAUGUUUUUUUUUUCAAGUUGAAAGAAUGUUCAAAAUGUAAUUCCUAAAUUGAUGAAAAUUGUCUAAAACGGGGGAUGAAAUGUAGGGGGAGGGGGGGAAUGUUUCUUACAGCGAUUAAAAUGAGGUCACGUGAAUGGAUUGCAUGAUUUUUGUCGAUUUAGAUUGGUUUUUAUUAUAAAAGUAAAGAUAAAUCUGUGGGGGAUGCAAAAUGUUAACCUUAGUUUACUGAAGCUCAUUUUUUUUGUGCAAAUGUCUUACAAAUGCCAUUUUCUCGAAAACCGUGUUUCUAAUCGUCAAAUGGACGCCAUUUUCGAACUCAGCACCCUCGAAAAUGUUGAAAUCGAUACCCAUGAAGGUUUUUUAUCAUUUUGCCCCCUCCACCCCAUUUCCCCCACCAACACCCUCUUUUAUAGUUUUGUCCCCUUGGGUAGUUCCUUAAACAUCUGAUUGAAAUCUUGAAGAACUUUGCUUGAUGAUUGAAAAAUGUUUCAGAACUGAACUUGAGUCAAUCCCGUUAUUUGAAUAGGGAGGGGGUGUAUGUUGUGGAAAGGGUGAAGGGGAGGGGGUGGAAAUUCCAUCCAGUGAUAAAAUAUCGUCAUGUAUAUCAAUUUCAUAGUUUUCAAUGGCGCUGAUUUCGAAUCCAACGUUCAUUUUUAGUUUGGAUUGAAUUUUAGCGAGGAAGCUGAAUUUCGAAUAUCUCGAGCAUAACCCCCUCCACCCCCCCUCCCCAUUAUCCUCUUCAACCUCUCUCUUAAUCGUAAUUGGUUUUUAUCGGCCAAUUUGAGUCGUAAACUGUGAUGUUCUUAUGGUACAAAUUUUUUCCCAAACUGAACCUGGGGGUGGGUCAUAUUUUCUUUAUUUGGGUGGAAGGAGAGGGGGUAAGUGGGGGGGGGUGAAAAUUCCAUCUAGUGAUAAAAUAUCGUCAUGUAAGUAUAUCGAUUUCAUGGUUUUCGAUGGCGCUGAUUUCAAAUCCGGUGUCCAUUUCAAUCUCCGGGUUACCCCCUCCCCAUUUUUUUAAAUCAACCCCCUCCCCAUUUCCUUGACUUGAAUUGUUUUCUAACGGUCAAUUAUUCAAGCUGUGAAACAUGGUGCUUUGAUGAUCCAAAUUUUGUUGUCUAAAUCGAACUCUUCGAUAGUUCGAAUGUGUCAGAAUUGAUUAGAGUGGGGUGAGGGGAGGGGAGGGGGUGAGAAUUCCAUCUAGUGAUAAAAUAUCGUCAUGUAUAUCGAUUUCAUGGUUUUCGAUGGCGCUGAUUUCAAAUCCGGUGUCCAUUUUAAUCUCCGGGUUAUCCCCUCCCCAUUUCCUCAACUUGAAUUGUUUUUCAACAGUCAAUAAUAUUAUUCAAGCUGUGAAACAUGUUGCUUUGAUGAUCCAAAUUUUGUUGUCUAAAUUGACCUCUUCGAUAGUUCGAAUGUGUCAGAAUUGAGUAGAGUGGUGGGUGGGGCGAGGAGAGGGGGAGGGGGUGAGAAUUCCAUCUAGUGAUAAAAUAUCGUCCUGUAUAUCGAUUUCAUGGUUUUCGAUGGCGCUGAUUUCAAAUCCAACGUUUAUUUUGUGCUCCGAGUAACCCCCUCCAUAUUUUUUUUCGUCAACCCCUUCCCUAAGUACAAGUGGGUUUUUUUCAACGGUCAAUUCAAGUCGUGAAGCACGUUGCUUUGAUGAUCUAUUUUUUUAAAUUCGAAAUUAAACUCUUCGAUAGUUCGAAUCUGUUGGAGUCGAGUUGAGUUGAGUGGAGGGUGCGGGGAGGGGAGGGGGUGAGAAUCACAUCUAGUGAUAAGAUAUCGUCAUGUAUAUCGAUUUCAUGGUUUUCGAAGGCGCUGAUUUCAAAUCUGGCGUUUGUUUUCGAUUUUGAAUCGAAUUUUGGCAAGUUUUGAACAUUUUUGUUCUUAUGAAGACGUGUCAGCUAUUUUUAUCGCCUUGAUCCCAAUCUGUAAUUUUAGGAUAUGAACUACCAUCGAUGAAUAAGUCCCAUCUUUGGAAAUUUUUUCUCAGAAAAGCACCACUGAUAUUACUCGGAUCAGUUUAUUCGCACCUCUGGUGUUGAAAAAAUUGGCCAAUUGUUUCGGGAAAAAUGAAUAAAUUCCGCAGCUGAAUUCUGCUUCUCCAUCGACACAUUAUCAAGUUCACUGCCAACACUGAUUGUACUAUAAAUAAUGAUUUCCGUUUACGUAUCUCGUGUAAUUUAAAUUUCAGGGUAUUAAGAUGAUUAAUGUACAUGUACGUUUUUAAUUUUACCUUCUCUUAUGGUUUGUGUUUUGUUUUGUUAUUAUUUUUUCGUUUUCUUUUCAUUUUAUAUCGGUCUGCAAAUGCGGACUUCUAUGGCUUUUUUUUAUGGGCGUUCAUCGUAUUCGCGACGACGGAUCGAUGAACGAUUGAAAUCUGUUGAAGAGUAUCGACUCGAUCGAGAGAAUUUAUACAAUCAAGGAUGAGUGUAGAGUAGACGUGAAUUAUGAAUUCGCGUGAAAUUUCGAGUCGUUAUUACCCCGCAGCAGUUUCAAGAAUAUUAAUAUGAUCGAUGCCAAAUCCAAAUCCAAGUUUUUCAUUUGUUCUUUCGCUUAAUAUUGGAUUUUGGUAACUUGUUUCAACGAAUUUAUAAGAUGAUUAUUGAUUAUGAUGAUAGAUGAUUGUGGUUUUAGUAGAAUUUUACAUCGAGGUAGAGUGUUUCCUACCCCCGAAUAUGGAUGUUCUAUUGUUGUUUCUCUAUUUUGUUUGUUUGUUGACUGGUUGGUUUGUUGGUUCAGAAUUUUAUGAAAAAGAAGAAAAAAACAGUUACCAGGGUUUCUUUUUUUUCUCUAUAUAAGGAAAGAAUCGUGGUUAUAGGUAGUUAUAAAUAUUGCCGGAAAUUGGAAAGUGAUCUAGAUUUACUAUCUUUAUAAAUUCAUUCGUUCACUACUCCUUUUUAUUCCGUAUGGAUCGCCCCUCCUUUCCCCCGCCCGCCCUUUUGCCCUUGUUUCAGCACCCCAAUUACUAUUAUAAUUUAUAUAACGUUCAUCUUAUCAUUUUUAUUAUUUUCUAGGGUAUAAUGUAUUUUAGAAUUUAAUUACCUACUAUUACCAAUCGGUUUCUUGUGUAAAUUCCGGAUGCGUUGAAAAAUUCUGAUUUCUGAUUUCGAACGGAGUAUGAAGUAAAGUACUCGUGUAUUGUUGUAUUGGCGUAUAAAGGUGCGGUGGUUUUUCUUGUUCUUGCAUAUAUAAUGUGUAUUAAUGGAGUACGUAAUAAUAUAACAAAAUUUUAAAAUAGAAAAAAAUGAAAAAUUUUAUUAAAUGAUUGCUGUAUUUUGCGCGGAGGACUGUUGUAUCGCUUAUUGAGAUUAUGUAAUGUAGUUAUGUUUAAUUGAACACAAAACGAAAAAAAAAAUGGAAAAAAAUUGUAACUAUUAAAUUUAAAAUAAAAUUAUAGCGACUGA